rnacentral:misc_RNA from 1 species
AAGUCGUAACAAGGUUUCCGUAGGUGAACCUGCGGAAGGAUCAUUACAACGUAUCCACGUAUAAACCUUUGUGAACAUGUUUAACCGCAUGGUUGUAGCGUCGCAAAGCAAUUAAUAAUUCGGAAAUAAAAUUAAUUGCCCGCUUCUCUCUUGCAGAAAAGGGAUGCUGUGACAAUGUUUUUCCGUUACAUAUUAACCACUGUAACUUUCUAUGUACUUACGAAUUAAAGCGAAAGCUUUUCUUCGAUAAAUAUAAGAAAUUAUAGCACAACUCUUAGCAACGGAUAUCUAGGCUCUC